rnacentral:tRNA from 1 species
GCUUUCGUGGUGUAACGGUUAGUACACUCGGCGCGUAUUCCAGAGGUCCAGGUUCGAGUCCUGGCGAGGGUA